ensembl:snRNA U4 U4 spliceosomal RNA
AGCUUUGCACAUUAGCAGUAUUGUAGCCAAUGAGCUUUAUCUGAGGCGUGAUUAUUGCUAAUUGAAAACUCUUACCAAUACCCCGCCAUGACGACUGGCAAUAUACUCGGCAUUGACCAUUAUUGGCAGCCUCCACAGGGA